GUAGGUGGCAAGCGUUGUCCGGAAUUAUUGGGCGUAAAGCGCGCGCAGGCGGUUCCUUAAGUCUGAUGUGAAAGCCCACGGGCUCAACCGUGGAGGGUCAUUGGAAACUGGAGAACUUGAGUACAGAAGAGGAAAGCGGAAUUCCACGUGUAGCGGUGAAAUGCGUAGAGAUGUGGAGGAACACCAGUGGCGAAGGCGGCUUUCUGGUCUGUAACUGACGCUGAGGCGCGAAAGCGUGGGGAGCAAACAGGAUUAGAUACCCUGGUAGUCCACGCCGUAAACGAUGAGUGCUAAGUGUUAGGGGGUUUCCGCCCCUUAGUGCUGCAGCUAACGCAUUAAGCACUCCGCCUGGGGAGUACGGCCGCAAGGCUG
rnacentral:rRNA from 1 species